UCCCCGAUAGAAUCGGGGCUGUCCCCCGUGAGAAUAUAACACAGGGUAGGGGUUGCGCUCGUUUGCCGACUGAACGGAACACCUCACGGCACGAGCUGACGACGACCGUGCAUCACCUGUCAUCUGGCUCCCGAAGGCACCCCCGCAUUUCUGCAGGGUUCCAGAGAUGUCAAGACCGGGUAAGGUUCCUCGCUUAGCUUCGAAUUAAACCACAUGCUCCACCACUUGUGCGAGCCCCCGUCAAUUCCUUUGAGUUUUAGCCUUGCGGCCGUACUUCCCAGGCGGUUCACUUACCGCGUUAGCUGCGCUACAGAGAGGGUCGAUACUCCCCAUAGCUAGUGAACAUCGUUUACAGCGUGGACUAC
rnacentral:misc_RNA from 1 species